GAUGAACGCUGGCGGCGUGCCUAAUACAUGCAAGUCGAGCGAAGCGGGGACGGGUGUGUAACACGUGGAUAACCUCCUAUAAGACUGGGAUAACUUCGGGAAACCGGAGCUAAACCGGAUACUUAUCGAUGGAUCCGCGCUGCAUUAGCUAUUUGGUAAUGUAACGGCUUACCAAGGCAACGAUGCAUCGCCGACCGGAGAGGGUGGUGUGGCAAACUGGCACUGAGACACGGUCCAGACUCCUACGGGAGGCAGCAGGAGGUAAUCUGCCGCAAUGGGCGAAAGCCUGACGCGGCAACGCCGCGUGAGGUAUGAAGGUCUUCGGAUCGUAAAACUCUGUUAUUAGGAAAGCGGUGCCUAAUCAGAAAGCCAAGGCUAACGACGUGCCAGCCGCCGCGGUAAUAC
rnacentral:rRNA from 1 species